AACGAACGCUGGCGGCAGGCUUAACACAUGCAAGUCGAACGCAUCCUUCGGGGUGAGUGGCAGACGGGUGAGUAACGCGUGGGAACGUGCCCUUCAGUUCGGGAUAACCCAGGGAAACUUGGGCUAAUACCGGAUACGUGCGAGAGCGGAAAGAUUUAUCGCUGAAGGAUCGGCCCGCGUCUGAUUAGCUAGUUGGUGGGGUAAUGGCCCACCAAGGCGACGAUCAGUGGCUGGUCUGAGAGGAUGAUCAACCACAUUGGGACUGAGACACGGCCCAAACUCCUACGGGAGGCAGCAGUGGGGAAUAUUGGACAAUGGGCGCAAGCCUGAUCCAGCCAUGCCGCGUGAGUGAUGAAGGCCUUAGGGUUGUAAAGCUCUUUCGUCCGGGACGAUAAUGACGGUACCGGAAGAAGAAGCCCCGGCUAACUUCGUGCCAGCCACCGCGGUAA
rnacentral:rRNA from 1 species